rnacentral:rRNA from 1 species
UACAGAGGUCCCGAGCGUUGUUCGGAUUCAUUGGGCGUAAAGGGUGCGCAGGCGGUUGGGUGUGUCAGAUGUGAAAUCCCGAGGCUCAACCUCGGAACUGCGUCUGAAACUACUCGACUAGAGUACUGGAGAGGGUAACGGAAUUCACGGUGUAGCAGUGAAAUGCGUAGAUAUCGUGAGGAACACCAGAGGCGAAGGCGGUUACCUGGACAGUUACUGACGCUCAGGCACGAAAGCAUGGGGAGCAAAAGGG